UAAAUACUCCCUCCGUUCCUAAAUACUUGUCUUUCUAGACAUUUCAAAUGACUACUACAUACGGAUGUAUGUAGACAUAUUUUAGAGUGUAGAUUCACUCAUUUUGCUCCGUAUGUAGUCACUUGUUGAAAUGCCUAGAAAGACAAGUAUUUAGGAACGGAGGGAGUAUAAU
rnacentral:pre_miRNA from 1 species